rnacentral:rRNA from 1 species
UAUUAUUUAUAAUGUUUUAUAAAAAUACUUAAGUAGUAAUAGUUAUGUUCUUGAAACUUAAAAAAUUUGGCGGUAUUUUAGUCUAUCCAGAGGAACCUGUUUUGUAAUCGAUAAUCCACGAUGGACCUUACUUAAAUUUGUAUUCAGUUUAUAUACCGUCGUUAUUAGAAUAUUUUAUAAGAAUAUUAAUAUUCAAUAGUUUUUAUAAGAAUUUAUAUCAGAUCAAGGUGUAGCUUAUGUUUAAGUAAUAAUGGGUUACAAUAAAUUUAUUUACAAUGGAUAAAAUUAUGAAAAAGUUUUUGAAAGUGGAUUUGGUAGUAAAAUUAUAAAGAUAAAUAAUUUGAUUUUAGCUCUAAAAUAUGUACAUAUCGCCCGUCGCUCUUAUUAUUAAGGUAAGAUAAGUCGUAACAUAGUAGAUGUACUGGAAAGUGUAUCUAGAAUGA